CUGAAAGCUACGGUCCCUGGCUCCCCGGUCAUACCAUGUGCGCUGGUGGGUCUGUGCCGCCUGAAGGUUUUCCCUUACCGUCCUGGUUAAGGCUUCCAGGCGGUCUCGGAGAGCCAACACAUAUGGUAUGAUGGGGGUGCCAUCUGCGCUCCGGUCUCCCUCCCAAUGCUCUCUUAUAAGAUCUAAGGGGCCUCUGACCCUCCUCC